UACGUAGGGUGCAAGCGUUUGUCCGGAAUUAUUGGGCGUAAAGAGCUUGUAGGCGGUUUGUCGCGUCUGCCGUGAAAAUCCGAGGCUCAACCUCGGACUUGCGGUGGGUACGGGCAGACUAGAGUGUGGUAGGGGAGACUGGAAUUCCUGGUGUAGCGGUGAAAUGCGCAGAUAUCAGGAGGAACACCGAUGGCGAAGGCAGGUCUCUGGGCCACUACUGACGCUGAGAAGCGAAAGCAUGGGGAGCGAACAGG
rnacentral:rRNA from 1 species